CGUGACUGUCCUAUUCCGAUCCUAAACAAUGGUGUGGCGGUCAACUUUCUUGUUAACUAUCAAGAAAUGUUCAAGGUGGCAUGAGCUGGUCAGAUUUGUUAAUUGAUUUGGUAUUGGGCAGGACCAGACACCAUGGCAUUCACCCGUCAGAAGAAGAAACAAAAGCCACGUCACGUGUCAUAUGGCAUGAGAAUAUUCUAAUUCACUUACAUAAAGAAAGCUCAAUUGACAAGACUGGACAAUGCAGUGUCAAGAAAAAAUAGCAAGAUGUUGACAAAUAAAAAAAAAGGAAUCUGGCAGAAUUGCCACAACUACUCUGGGGAACAAUUUGCUGUGAAGUAUUGUUUUUUGAAACUCUAUAUAUUAAAUUUUGA